rnacentral:rRNA from 1 species
UUAAGCGACUAAGCGUACACGGUGGAUGCCUAGGCAAUCAGAGGCGAUGAAGGACGUGCUAAUCUGCGAUAAGCGUCGGUAAGGUGAUAUGAACCGUUACAACCGACGAUUUCCGAAUGGGGAAACCCAGUGCAAUUCGUUGCACUAUCGUUUGAUGAAUACAUAGUCAAACGAAGCGAACCGGGGGAACUGAAACAUCUCAGUACCCCGAGGAAAAGAAAUCAACCGAGAUUCCCCUAGUAGCGGCGAGCGAACGGGGAGCAGCCCAGAGUCUUAAUCAGCAUUAGCAUCAGGAGAACGGUCUGGAAAGUCCGGCAGUAAAGGGUGAUAGCCCCGUAUCCGAAGGUGUUAGUGUUGUGAACUCGACGAGUAGGGCGGGACACGUGUUAUCCUGUCUGAAUAUGGGGGGACCAUCCUCCAAGGCUAAAUACUCCUGAUUGACCGAUAGUGAACCAGUACCGUGAGGGAAAGGCGAAAAGAACCCCGGCGAGGGGAGUGAAAUAGAACCUGAAACCGUGUACGUACAAGCAGUGGGAGCCUUGAUUUAUCAGGGUGACUGCGUACCUUUUGUAUAAUGGGUCAGCGACUUAUAUUCUGUAGCAAGGUUAACCGUAUAGGGGAGCCGUAGGGAAACCGAGUCUUAACUGGGCGAAUAAGUUGCAGGGUAUAGACCCGAAACCCGGUGAUCUAGCCAUGGGCAGGUUGAAGGUUGGGUAACACUAACUGGAGGACCGAACCGACUAAUGUUGAAAAAUUAGCGGAUGACUUGUGGCUGGGGGUGAAAGGCCAAUCAAACCGGGAGAUAGCUGGUUCUCCCCGAAAGCUAUUUAGGUAGCGCCUCGUGAACUCAUCUUCGGGGGUAGAGCACUGUUUCGACUAGGGGGUCAUCCCGACUUACCAACUCGAUGCAAACUACGAAUACCGAAGAAUGUUAUCACGGGAGACACACGGCGGGUGCUAACGUUCGUCGUGAAGAGGGAAACAACCCAGACCGCCAGCUAAGGUCCCAAAGUCAUAGUUAAGUGGGAAACGAAGUGGGAAGGCUCAGACAGCCAGGAUGUUGGCUUAGAAGCAGCCAUCAUUUAAAGAAAGCGUAAUAGCUCACUGGUCGAGUCGGCCUGCGCGGAAGAUGUAACGGGGCUAAACUAUGCACCGAAGCUGCGGCAGCGAUAUGUAAAUAUUGUUGGGUAGGGGAGCGUUCUGUAAGCCUGUGAAGGUGUGCUGUGAGGCAUGCUGGAGGUAUCAGAAGUGCGAAUGCUGACAUAAGUAACGAUAAUGCGGGUGAAAAACCCGCACGCCGGAAGACCAAGGGUUCCUGUCCAACGUUAAUCGGGGCAGGGUGAGUCGACCCCUAAGGCGAGGCAGAAAUGCGUAGUCGAUGGGAAACGGGUUAAUAUUCCCGUACUGGUGAUAAUUGCGAUGGGGGGACGGAGAAGGCUAGGCUAUCCGGGCGACGGUUGUCCCGGUUUAAGGAUGUAGGCAGGUGAAUUAGGCAAAUCCGGUUCACUACAUGCUGAGGUCCGACGACGAGUCACUACGGUGAUGAAGUAGCUCAUGCCCCGCUUCCAGGAAAAGCCUCUAAGCUCUAGAUUAUCAUUAAUCGUACCCCAAACCGACACAGGUGGUCAGGUAGAGAAUACUCAGGCGCUUGAGAGAACUCGGGUGAAGGAACUAGGCAAAAUGGUGCCGUAACUUCGGGAGAAGGCACGCUGGCAUUAGGUGAAGUGGUUUACCCAUGGAGCUGAAGCCAGUCGCAGAUACCAGCUGGCUGCAACUGUUUAUUAAAAACACAGCACUGUGCAAACACGAAAGUGGACGUAUACGGUGUGACGCCUGCCCGGUGCUGGAAGGUUAAUUGAUGGGGUUAUCCGUAAGGAGAAGCUCUUGAUCGAAGCCCCAGUAAACGGCGGCCGUAACUAUAACGGUCCUAAGGUAGCGAAAUUCCUUGUCGGGUAAGUUCCGACCUGCACGAAUGGCGUAAUGAUGGCCAGGCUGUCUCCACCCGAGACUCAGUGAAAUUGAACUCGCUGUGAAGAUGCAGUGUACCCGCGGCAAGACGGAAAGACCCCGUGAACCUUUACUAUAGCUUGACACUGAACAUUGAGCCUUGAUGUGUAGGAUAGGUGGGAGGCUUUGAAGCGUGGACGCCAGUCUGCGUGGAGCCAACCUUGAAAUACCACCCUUUAAUGUUUGAUGUUCUAACGUUGCCCCAUUAUCUGGGGUGCGGACAGUGUCUGGUGGGUAGUUUGACUGGGGCGGUCUCCUCCCAAAGAGUAACGGAGGAGCACGAAGGUUGGCUAAGCAUGGUCGGACAUCAUGCGGUUAGUGCAAAGGCAUAAGCCAGCUUGACUGCGAGAGUGACGGCUCGAGCAGGUACGAAAGUAGGUCUUAGUGAUCCGGUGGUUCUGAAUGGAAGGGCCAUCGCUCAACGGAUAAAAGGUACUCCGGGGAUAACAGGCUGAUACCGCCCAAGAGUUCAUAUCGACGGCGGUGUUUGGCACCUCGAUGUCGGCUCAUCACAUCCUGGGGCUGAAGUAGGUCCCAAGGGUACGGCUGUUCGCCGUUUAAAGUGGUACGCGAGCUGGGUUUAGAACGUCGUGAGACAGUUCGGUCCCUAUCUGCCGUGGGCGUUGGAAGAUUGAAAGGGGCUGCUCCUAGUACGAGAGGACCGGAGUGGACGCACCACUGGUGUUCGGGUUGUCAUGCCAAUGGCAUUGCCCGGUAGCUAAGUGCGGAAGAGAUAACCGCUGAAAGCAUCUAAGCGGGAAACUUGCCUUGAGAUGAGUCUUCCCUGACUCUUUAAGAGUCCUAAAGGAACGUUUAAGACUAAGACGUUGAUAGGUUGGGUGUGUAAGCGUAGCGAUACGUUGAGCUAACCAAUACUAAUGAACCGUGAGGCUUAACC